rfam:Candidatus Yanofskybacteria bacterium RIFCSPHIGHO2_01_FTLL_41_21 rifcsphigho2_01_scaffold_675, whole genome shotgun sequence.
AGCCUAAACCCAUCAAGAAUCCUUGGCGGGCAUGGCACAAAAUCGUUAGGUACAUUAAACCCGUCAGAGGGCGUACCUAACGUUAUACAGGGAAACUUGUAUAUGCGACCGAAAGGUUGCA